rnacentral:rRNA from 1 species
GACGAACGCUGGCGGCGUGCUUAACACAUGCAAGUCGAACGACGUGGCACACGGGUGAGUAACGCGUAAUCAACCUGCACUUCAGGGGGGGAACACCGUUGGAAACGACUGCUAAUCCCGCAUACUGAAGGCGGGGUUUGCGGCUGAUUCGCUAGUUGGCGGGGUAACGGCCCACCAAGGCGAAGAUCAGUAGGCGGGCUGAGAGGGUGAACGGCCACAAUGGGAAUGAGGACCGGGCCAGACUCCCACGGGAGGCCGCAGGGGGGAAUCUUCCGCAAUGGGCGGAAGGCGUGCGGAGCAAAGGCGCGUGAGUGAUGACGGCCUUCGGGUUGUAAAGCUCUGUUAAUCGGGACGCGGUACCGUAAUAGAAAGCCACGGCUAACUACGUGCCAGCAGCCGCGGUAAUAC